UACGGGGGGUGCGAGCGUUGUCCGGAAUCACUGGGCGUAAAGGGCGCGUAGGUGGUUUGAUAAGGGUGUGGUGAAAGUCCGGGGCUCAACCCCGGAUCUGCCGUGCCGACUGUCAAACUCGAGGACUGUAGAGGCAGACGGAAUUCCGGGUGUAGCGGUGGAAUGCGUAGAGAUCCGGAGGAAGACCGGUGGCGAAGGCGGUCUGCUGGGCAGUUUCUGACACUGAAGCGCGACAGCGUGGGGAUCAAACAGG
rnacentral:rRNA from 1 species